UCGUGAAGUGAUUUGUUUGGUUGAUUCCGUUAACGAACGAGAUCUCAACCGCUUACUAGGAGGCUUCGUCGCUUUACACCUCGACUUACGUCGGGGUCAGACUUGACCUACCUUCUUAGCGGCACUUGGCGUGUAUUAUAGCACCAUGGAGCGAGCCAAUAGCA
rnacentral:rRNA from 1 species